GGGCGAGUGGCGGAAUUGGCAUACGCGUACGACUCAAAAUCGUAUUCCUUCGGGAUUGUGGGUUCAACUCCCACCUCGCCCA
rfam:Candidatus Saccharibacteria bacterium RIFCSPLOWO2_02_FTLL_46_7 rifcsplowo2_02_scaffold_42997, whole genome shotgun sequence.